CAGCAGCAAUGAAGCCAACCAGGCUCCUUUCUCCAUGGGGGUCUUGUGUGCAAUGGUUGCAAACACUAUCCUCCUUUGUGGCAUAUGCACCUUAUUGGAUGUGCAGGUUUCCCCAAAGGGACCUUGGGGACAGCU